rnacentral:rRNA from 1 species
CACGGUAAGGAUUGACGGACUGAAGGCUCUUUCUCGAUUCCGUGGAAAGUGGUGCAUGGCCGUUUUGGUGGUGGAUCGAUCCGUCUGGUUAAUUCCGUUAACGAACGAGACCUCGGCACUCCGAAUAGCGCGGCGGACGUCGCGGCCUCCGGGCCGUCUUCCGCACGAGCUUCUUAGAGGGACCGUCCCCCGCCGGGGAAGGAGGUGCGAGGCAACGACAGGUCUGUGAUGCCCUUAGAUGUUCUGGGCCGCACGCGCAUUACACUGACGCGUCCAACGGGUGACUCCCGACCCGAAGGGGCCGGGGAAUCCGCAAGGCGCGUCGUGAUGGGGAUUGAACGUUGCAAUUGUUGUUCACGAACGAGGAAUUCCUAGUAGGCGCGGGUCAUCAACCCGCGCCGAUUACGUCCCUGCCC